rnacentral:rRNA from 1 species
UACGAAGGGGGCUAGCGUUGCUCGGAAUUACUGGGCGUAAAGCGCGUGUAGGCGGUUGUCCAAGUCGGGUGUGAAAGCCUUGAGCUCAACUCAAGAAAUGCACUCGAUACUGGGCGACUCGAGUGCCGGAGAGGAUAGUGGAAUUCCCAGUGUAGUGGUGAAAUGCGUAGAUAUCGGUAGGAACACCAGUGGCGAAGGCGGUCUCCUGGGGCAUUCUUGACGCUGAGGCGCGAAAGCUGGGGGAGCGAACGGG